ensembl:lncRNA
AUUUAAUGUUAGUUAACUGCUUACAAUGAGACAAGUGCACCCUGGAUUACUGCAAAGAUCCUUUGAAACCCAUCAAAUAAUUAGAUCAUUUAUUUACUAUUUCCCACAUUAAAAUAUAUUUACUGAUUUUAUUAACUACAAUAUGAUGAGCAGAAGUGAUGUUUGCUUGUAUGUUUUCUGUUCAAAUAAUGGUUUCCAUAACAAACAGGCCCCGAGGUGACCAACUUAAAACAGGUGACUCGUUUUGGAAGCAAAACAAACACAAGAAGGGGAUUUGGGUUGCAGGCAGCUGUGGAUCCUGCACGCUCAGCUGGUGACGCACAAAGAAACAGGUGACGGCGUCGGGAUGUUUGCCCUGCAAGGGUGCCACCACGUGCUUCUUUCCCCUGGAACAAGCUCUCUCGGUAAAAUCUGCACCUGGCCUGGUGGUCUUGGCAACAUCGGACAACCUCUAGCAGAUGUUCGCCUCUCUUUUGUCGAUGACUUCGCGGUGGCUGCUCCGCGAGACAAAACUGCGGAUCAUCUCAUGGGUUCCUCUGCUGCAGAGAUCGUACGUGAUGAAGCUUUACUCAGUCACCAGAUCCGGGAUGAAAGUUACCCUUUGGCCGUGUGACAGACAGGAAGAAAGGGACGCUCACGCUAGUGUGAAGGCAUAUGAAAUGGUUUCGCAGCCAGCCAAACUUCCUGAAUCCUCUUCUAUGGAGAGAUGCCAAACCACAGAAGAGAGAAUAAGGGUAGCCAGGAAGAAGAGAAAGAAGGAGCUGAAAGAGAAAGAUAGAGACAGUGUGUCUCAAUUUACCCUGGAAAAAAACCUGAUUUGCGAGACGUAAAUGCACCUACAUGAGAGGGGAUAAUCUACAUGUGCUCAUAGAGGUAACGAUAGUGAUUGCCCGUGUGUGUGUGUGUGUGUGUGUGUGUGUGUGUGUGUGUAGGAAACAUGAAAGUUAGUUUGUGCACAGAAUUUCUUGAUUCCAAGGAGAAAUCUCACAUUACAAAACAUUACACAAAUAUUAAGAAAGUGAAAAGAUGCUUUUAUGAC